AGGUGCUGCAUGGCUGUCGUCAGCUCGUGUUGUGAAAUGUUGGGUUAAGUCCCGCAACGAGCGCAACCCUUAUCCUUUGUUGCCAGCGGUUCGGCCGGGAACUCAAAGGAAACUGCCGGUGAUAAACUGGAGGAAGGUGGGGAUGACGUCAAGUCAUCAUGGCCCUUACGACUGGGGCUACACACGUGCUACAAUGGCGCAUACAAAGAGAAGCGACCUCGCGAGAGCAAGCGGACCUCAUAAAGUGCGUCGUAUUCCGGAUUGGAGUCUGCAACUCGACUCCGUGAAGUCGGAAUCGCUAGUAAUCGUGAAUCAGAAUGCCACGG
rnacentral:rRNA from 1 species